rnacentral:rRNA from 1 species
AUUGAACGCUGGCGGCAGGCUUAACACAUGCAAGUCGAACGGAGUGGCGGACGGGUGAGUAAUGCUUGGGAAUCUGGCUUAUGGAGGGGGAUAACGACGGGAAACUGUCGCUAAUACCGCGUACCAUAGGAUGAGCCCAAGUGGGAUUAGGUAGUUGGUGGGGUAAUGGCCUACCAAGCCGACGAUCUCUAGCUGGUCUGAGAGGAUGAUCAGUCACACUGGAACUGAGACACGGUCCAGACUCCUACGGGAGGCAGCAGUGGGGAAUAUUGGACAAUGGGCGAAAGCCUGAUCCAGCCAUGCCGCGUGUGUGAAGAAGGUCUUCGGAUUGUAAAGCACUUUAAGUUGGGAGGCGUUACCAACAGAAUAAGCACCGGCUAACUUCGUGCCAGCCGCCGCGGUAAUUC